CGCCUGCCUCGAGACAAUCAACACUACAUAAAUUCAACUCGGGUGCUUGAAAUCCGAUUCUCCUCUCCAACUCCUCUAGUUCCCUGCAGAAAAUGGCAUUUUGGGAGAUGACACUCUAAACUGGUGCUUUUCCUCCCUCCUCGUCAUGCCACAGAGUUGGUAUUCUGGGCUUCAGUGUGCCCUAUUGGCCAAGCCACAGCCCGACAGCCUUUCAUUACACUAGCCGAAGGAGGUGGCCUGGACAUCCCCAUCGAAGACACCAUCACCACACCCCAAAGUGUGCCCAGCUCCGAGCUGUUCCCUGGAUACAUCAACAAGAGAGAUGAGAAAACAGCCGCUCUGUUUGUACAUCAUUUAACCGGCAAUCAUCAAGCCUGACCUAUUAUAGAUGGGCUUGUGAUGGAUUGUUCAUUCAUCCAGGGUGUUUUCCCGCCUGUGUUAGAAGUUGCUCUGGCAUCUCUGCAAUCCUACAUAGAACAAGCGGUUUGGAAACUGGAUGGAUGGAUGUCAUGGCUGGAACUACACCGCCACCUGCUGAUCCAAUAGAACUUGCUCGGCAGUUCCUUCCUUCCACAUUCUAUUAAAAUGGAGCUGCAAGAACUCCACAAACCUGAUGAUUCAUAAUGAGCAUGAUUUGAGAAUAAUUCAGUGAGCAACUUGUGAUUCUGACCGUCUGACCGUCAAUGUCACAUAACUGUUUUUCAUAGUUACUUAGAAAUA